AAAGGAAACACAAUUCAUCUCCGUUAAAGCAGUCGACGCCGUCUACGGCUCUCGGAGGGUUUGGAUUGCGAAUUUGGGAAUCAUUUCUUCUCAAAACUCGGAGAGAACCGCGAGUGUUAUAAGUUAUAACUUAUAAAUGCCAAAUUUGCAGUUGAGGCUAAAGUUUAGUUGGUGGCUCUACUGAUAAGGCACCCAAUUUCAGGCACCCGUAGAGAGGCAGAGGCAGUUGAAGCUAAUGAUAUUACUUCAAUCAAGUUCCAGGUGUGAAUGUUAUCAGCCGUUUUAAGUUCAAUUUAAUCGGCGAGGCAGUGUUUGGUUUCUUUGGUUGCUACUGUAUAUAGAUUGAUCACUGAUUUAAUUCACUUGUAAACAAUUAAUUAGCUAGGUGCUAAUAUGUAGUAACCAGCUAUCAAUUCAAUUUUUUUUCCUCACAA